AACGAACGCUGGCGGCAUGCCUAACACAUGCAAGUCGAACGAGACCUUCGGGUCUAGUGGCGCACGGGUGCGUAACGCGUGGGAAUCUGCCCUUGGGUUCGGAAUAACAGUUAGAAAUGACUGCUAAUACCGGAUAAUGUCUUCGGACCAAAGAUUUAUCGCCCAGGGAUGAGCCCGCGUAGGAUUAGCUAGUUGGUGAGGUAAAGGCUCACCAAGGCGACGAUCCUUAGCUGGUCUGAGAGGAUGAUCAGCCACACUGGGACUGAGACACGGCCCAGACUCCUACGGGAGGCAGCAGUGGGGAAUAUUGGACAAUGGGCGAAAGCCUGAUCCAGCAAUGCCGCGUGAGUGAUGAAGGCCUUAGGGUUGUAAAGGCUCUUUUACCCGGGAUGAUAAUGACAGUACCGGGAGAAUAAGCCCCGGCUAACUUCGUGCCAGCAGCCGCGGUAAU
rnacentral:rRNA from 1 species